rnacentral:misc_RNA from 1 species
CCUGGUGUCUUGGGUG